rnacentral:rRNA from 1 species
AUGCCAUUUGGUAUGUUUGUAGGAGUUAGUAACCACUUUGAGAGUGUAAUCUUCGCUGGAGUAUUCUUGACUAAUGAGAAGGAAGAGAAUUUCCGUUGGGCUUUUAAGCAAUUUGUUGCUAUGAUGGGUGGGAAACCACCAGUUACUAUUCUUACAGAUCAGGCUAGGGCCAUUGGAAAUGCAGUCAUGGCAGAGCUUCCUAAUGCAACACAUAGAUGGUGCAAAUGGCACGUUCUGAAGAGGGCUCAUGAACUUCUUGGUGUUGUUUACAGAAAUCACAAAACCUUUGCUGAUGAUUUCCAUAAGCUAGUAAAUCACAUGCUAACAAUACAGGAGUUUGAAGAUGCAUGGAAUUUUGUUACGUACACUAAACUGAUAGACGAUCGGGAGAGUUGUGACGCAGAAGCUGAAAGGAAGAACAAACAGAAAAUAUUAAAGGUCCAUUUUGGAUAUCCCAUGGAGAAGCAUGCUUCUGUUAUCUAUACACCAAAGGUUUAUAAUCUAUUCAAGAAGGAGCUCAUUAAGUCUACAUCAUACCUUGUGCUUCCUAGCCAUGAGGAACAUACUUUUGUUGUGAAGCACGUCCAGGCCGAGUCUAGGGAAUUGUGGUCUAAAGUAAUUUACAAAAUCAAAGUAGAUGAGUCAAUUGGAUAUUACACAUGUGAAUGUGGACUUGACGAACAUUUUGGUGUUCUUUGUAGCCACGUCCUAGCGAUUUUUGUGAACCGAGGUGUCUGCAAAAUUCCAGAUUGUCACAUAAUGAAGCGGUGGACAAAGCAAGCUAGGUCAUCUACUUUCAGCAACAAGUUGGAGAAAUAUAUCGGCGACACUAACGAGGAAUCGAGAUCAUUUAGGCACCAGCUAUUAUAUUUCGCGGCAAUAAAUAUAGUUAAUGAAGCUGAGAUCGAUCCAGAUGCAUUUGCAAUUGCAAAGUCUAAUUUUACUCGUUGCAAGAAGGAAUUACAGGAGCACAGACUUUCAAAGACAACUACAUGCCAGGUAGGAUAUGGAUCAAUGCCUGAAGAUGAAGUAAGUACACAUUCUGGUGUUCAACUGGAAGGCAAUGAAGUUAGUGAAUCAUGUGUUCAAAUAGUUGAUACCACAAAAAACAUUACUAUUCCAGUUUCUUCAAUUCUUGCACCUGCUAUAAUGAAGAGGAAUGGUAGACCUUCCAAUAAAAGGUACAUGUCUAGCAUGGAAGCAAACAUCAAGAAGAAGAAACGUGGGAAAAAACCAGACCCAAAGAGCAAACAAGCUGGUGGUGUGAUGGGUGUUGUCCAGUCCAGGUUUUGCAGCAAAUGUCGAUCGCCAACACACACUAUCAAAGAUUGCCCGCAGCUCUAUUUACCUUAA